GCGUAGGAAUCUACCUGGUAGUGGGGGACAACAGUUGGAAACGACUGCUAAUACCGCAUACGCCCUACGGGGGAAAGCGGGGGAGUCUUCGGACCUCGUGCUAUCAGAUGAGCCUGCGUGAGAUUAGCUAGUUGGUGAGGUAAUGGCUCACCAAGGCGACGAUCUCUAGCUGGUCUGAGAGGAUGAUCAGCCACACUGGGACUGAGACACGGCCCAGACUCCUACGGGAGGCAGCAGUGGGGAAUAUUGCACAAUGGGCGAAAGCCUGAUGCAGCCAUGCCGCGUGUGUGAAGAAGGCUC
rnacentral:rRNA from 1 species